rnacentral:rRNA from 1 species
UACGUAGGGGGCUAGCGUUGUCCGGAUUUAUUGGGCGUAAAGAGCGUGUAGGCGGCCAGGUAGGUCUGCUGUGAAAACCUCGAGGCUCAACCUCGAGACGUCGGCGGAAACCAUCUGGCUAGAGUCCGGAAGAGGAGAGUGGAAGUUCCUGGAUGUAGCGGUGAAAUGCGCAGAUAUCAGGAGGAACGAGCCGGUGGCGAAGGCGGGUCUCUGGGCCGAUACUGACGCUGAGGAGCGAAAGCGUGGGGAGCGAACAGGAUUAGACUACCC